GACGAACGCUGGCGGCAUGCUUAACACAUGCAAGUCGAACGGAAAGGCCCCUUUGGGGUUACUCGAGGGGCGGACGGGGGAGUAACACUGGCGUAACCAGCCGUUGACUUCGGGAUAACGGCAGGAAACUGGGGCUACUACCGGGAAGGAAUCCUUGCUGCAUCGGGGGGGGGGGAAAGCUUCUGCGGUUUUGGAUGGACUCGCGGCUUAUCAGCUUGUUGGUGGGGUAGUGGCUUACCAAGGCUUUGACGGGUCGCCGGCCUGAGCGGGCGACCGGCCACCCUGGGUCUGAGAGACGGCCCAGACUCCUACGGGCGGCAGCAGUGGGGAAUAUUGCUCCAUGGGCGGAAGCCUGAUGCAGCAACGCCGCGUGCGGGAUGACGGCCUUCGUGUUGUAAACCGCUUUCAGCAGGGGCGAAGCUUGUGGUGACGGUACCUGCAGAAGAAGCACCGGCUAACUACGUG
rnacentral:rRNA from 1 species